GCCAGUCCUCAGUAAUAUCAGGCAAUUCACCUAGAAUUCAGAAAGCAACAAAUAGAACAAUUCCUCUCUCUUGGGACUUCAUUUUCUUGGAUCUGAAUUUUUAAGUCCUGAAGAUUCUGAAAUAUUCCAAAGGAUUAGGAGUUUAAAAUUCUCUCUUCCUCAUGGAGGAAAACCAGGAGAUAUACAAAGAGGUAUCCUGCUAGAGGAUCCCAGGCUAACGAUGGAUUAGGGAAGAACAGAUGAUGUGUCCAAGCGAGGAGGACAUAAGAGAAGCAAGGUGCCAAAUAAAGAAUGAGAGGUCAAAUGUAAUACAAUUUGCUGACUGUAAGGGGGAGAGUUUUUUUCCCCAAAAUGCCAAAGUACAUAAAGAUAAAGGUGAAAGUUUCCUCUCACCAGUUCCAGUGUUAACAGUGAGAGUUCUUGGGCAAGCCCUCCCCAAAUGACCGAAAUGGCCCUCCUGCUACUCCAGGACUACAUUUUACCAGCAUAGUGACAAAGUAAAAAGCAAAUGAUUAGUUCAAGCCAGUGAUGUGAAGAAUAACUACAACCGAGAGGGGGAAAAAGGAAGGCUAAAAUCAGAUUUCCUCACUUGGUGCCUCAAAGCAGCUUCAAUUUGACCUAUUUUGGAAGGAUUCAUCAAAAAACAAAUUUUUGUUUCCCUCUCAGACAAGUACCGUUGUCUCAAUGCACCUUUCAUGUGCAUUCUAACUUUGACAGAUCAUUGAACGGGAGUUGGGAAACUCCACUUACCAAAGAGAAAAGGACACAAUUGGAGAUACUGGUUACUUUACAAAGCAUUUAACUGGAAUGGCAUAUUUUCCAUAAUGACCAGACUGCUUUGAGGAAUUAAGGUUGACUUAUAAAGCUCAAAAAAAGCUUCUUGGAAAGGCUGGUCUGGUAUGUUGUCUGCAAGGUUCCUUUACAAGUUCCCUGACCUUUGGUAACUAAGGAAUGUCACUUUCUGACAGUCCCAGGAACCUCAAAUUAUUUGAGCACUUUGAGGAAAGAGGAACUCACCCAAUUCAUACAGAUAUUGCAAUAGUCUGAUGGCAAAUCCUUGGCAUGGCUUCUAGCCUUGAGGCUUUUAAAAGUCUAAUCUGAGAUUCCUUAUGAAAAAGUUCCAGCAAAGUCAGUCUUAAAAGAGUUUAUAUGCAGCCUGAAUGACAUAGUAAGAAUCCCAUCUCUAAAAGAAGAAGAAAAAUAAAUAAAAAUAAAAAAGCCUAUAUAGCCAAUCACAAUUCUUGCUGCACUUUAUGCAAAUAACCAGGCCAAGUAUAAUAAGACUAAAACUUAUCUUGAAAAUACAUUUGUCCUACUGUAAUUUGUCUUUGGUAGAAAUAGAGGACCGUAGAAAUAAAAAUUAUGUUCCAAAAGAAAACUAGAGUAUACCUGUUAUGAGAUUCCAGCUGUGUCCAUUAUUUUUGAGUUUUUAUUAUAUGCCUACACUUUGGAUUGAAUUCUGAAUUUUUUUCUGGCCACACGUCUCCAAACUAAUAUUUCCAAA
ensembl:lncRNA LINC02402 long intergenic non-protein coding RNA 2402